GUGAAUGUCAGGGAUGGUCAGGCUGGCGCCGGGCAGUGGAGGAUGGCACUCGGAUUGGGUCAGAGAGAGUAGCAGCUGUCCAAGCAGCAAUAACAACAGGGCCACCAGUAUAGUCCAGAUGAGAUGACAUGCAACACAAUACACACUGUAGAAACUAUUCUUAUAGGGAUGACCCAUAUCAAAUCAGAACUUCAGAUCAGUUUUGGGACUAUAGUCAUUCGAUGGGCAGGAGCCAAGUGAACAACAUUAAUUUACUAUCAAAUGGGGAAUGCCACAGAGACUUGUCUUUCAAAUCAUGACUCUGGCUGAUAUAAAAUAACCCUCAACACACAGAAACAAAUGGAGGAUGACAAUUUGAGUCACCUGACAUAUUCGGCCAAUGAAGAGAUGCUCUCUCAGUCUGAGGUUGAUUGAUUGGCUACAGUAGAGUUGUUAAAUCCCAACGCUAAGCUUGGCCGAUCUGUCCCAGUGACAAAUGACAGCUUUUCCCUGGGAGGACUUAGGGCCUACACCUCACAUUACCUACCCUCUAUCCUUCUACACUAGAGGAUACCACUAUUCACACCGCAGGUGAUUUAGGAAACGUCCCCCUAUUUCCAUUAUAGUGCACUACUUUUGACCAGGGCCGAACCUCUAAACAUUAUAUGCACAAUGUUCCUCCUCAUGAACAUUGUCAGUGGUUAGGUUACAUGAAUAAUAUGUAAAGGCCAUAACAAACCAGUCACACUGAUAUGAUCCAGGGUAACUUUACAGUGUGGAAAGCUGUUGACAUGAAUAAUUAUCACUGCCUGUUACAGAGGUUGAUUUCUAGUAGCAUUGAGGAAGAUUGAACAACAUUGAAACACAUUACAGAAAUCGCUAGACACAGUCUGUCUGUCUGUCAGUGGGGUUGUCUGUCUGUCUGUCAGUGGGUCUGUCAGUGGGGUUGUCUGCCUGUCUGUCAGUGGGGUUGUCUGUCUGUCUGUCAGUGGGGUUGUCUGUCUGUCUGUCUGUCAGUGGGGUUGUCUGUCUGUCUGUCAGUGGGGUUGUUGUCUGUCUGUCUGUCAGUCUGUCAGUGGGGUUGUCUGUCUGUCUGUCAGUCUGUCAGUGGGGUUGUCUGUCUGUCUGUCAGUCUGUCAGUGGGGUUGUCUGUCAGUCUGUCAGUGGGGUUGUCUGUCUGUCUGUCAGUCUGUCAGUGGGUGGGGUUGUCUGUCUGUCUGUCUGUCAGUGGGGUUGUCUGUCUGUCUGUCAGUCUGUCUGGGGUUAGGUAUUGACAACACAGAUCUCUUUAGUAUCUAUAGACACCAGUCCUGUCUCACCCUCAGUCAGUCAUCCCAAUGAGCUGCUCUUUGCGACA